GACGAACGCUGGCGGCGUGCUUAACACAUGCAAGUCGAACGGCAAGGCCCUGCUUUUGUGGUGUGCUCGAGUGGCGAACGGGUGAGUGACACGUGAGUAACCUGCCCUUGACUUUGGGAUAGCUUCAGGAAACUGGGGCUAAUACCGGAUAGGAGCUCCUGCUGCAUGGUGGGGGUUGGAAAGUUUCGGCGUUUGGGGAUGGACUCGCGGCUUAUCAGCUUGUUGGUGGGGUAGUGGCUUACCCAGGCUUUGACGGGUAGCCGGCCUGUGAGGGUGACCGGCCACAUUGGGACUGAGAGACGGCCCAGACUCCUACGGGAGGCAGCAGUGGGGAAUAUUGAACAAUGGGCGGAGGCUGGAUGCAGCAACGCCGCGUGCGGGAUGACGGCCUUCUGGUUGUAAACCGCUUGCGCCUGAGACGAAGCGUGAGUGACGGGAAUGGGUAAAGAAGCAACGGCUUACUACGGG
rnacentral:rRNA from 1 species